UUGCACGCUGGCGGCAGGCCUAACACCUGCCAGUCGAGCGGAUGAAGGGAGCUUGCUCCUGGAUUCAGCGGCGGACGGGUGAGUAAUGCCUAGGAAUCUGCCUGGUAGUGGGGGAUAACGUCCGGAAACGGGCGCUAAUACCGCAUACGUCCUGAGGGAGAAAGUGGGGGAUCUUCGGACCUCACGCUAUCAGAUGAGCCUAGGUCGGAUUAGCUAGUUGGUGGGGUAAAGGCCUACCAAGGCGACGAUCCGUAACUGGUCUGAGAGGAUGAUCAGUCACACUGGAACUGAGACACGGUCCAGACUCCUACGGGAGGCAGCAGUGGGGAAUAUUGGACAAUGGGCGAAAGCCUGAUCCAGCCAUGCCGCGUGUGUGAAGAAGGUCUUCGGAUUGUAAAGCACUUUAAGUUGGGAGGAAGGGCAGUAAGUUAAUACCUUGCUGUUUUGACGUUACCAACAGAAUAAGCGCCGGCUAACUUCGUG
rnacentral:rRNA from 1 species